rnacentral:rRNA from 1 species
GGGUGAGUAAUACAUCGGAACGUGUCCGCUCGUGGGGGACAACCAGCCGAAAGGUUGGCUAAUACCGCAUGAGUUCUACGGAAGAAAGAGGGGGACCCGCAAGGGCCUCUCGCGAGCGGAGCGGCCGAUGACUGAUUAGCCGGUUGGUGAGGUAACGGCUCACCAAAGCAACGAUCAGUAGCUGGUCUGAGAGGACGACCAGCCACACUGGGACUGAGACACGGCCCAGACUCCUACGGGAGGCAGCAGUGGGGAAUUUUGGACAAUGGGCGCAAGCCUGAUCCAGCUAUUCCGCGUGUGGGAUGAAGGCCCUCGGGUUGUAAACCACUUUUGUAGAGAACGAAAAGACACCUUCGAAUAAAGGGUGUUGCUGACGGUACUCUAAGAAUAAGCACCGGCUAACUACGUGCCAGCAGCCGCGGUAAUACGUAGGGUGCGAGCGUUAAUCGGAAUUACUGGGCGUAAAGGGUGCGCAGGCGGUUGAGUAAGACAGAUGUGAAAUCCCCGAGCUUAACUCGGGAAUGGCAUAUGUGACUGCUCGACUAGAGUGUGUCAGAGGGAGGUGGAAUUCCACGUGUAGCAGUGAAAUGCGUAGAUAUGUGGAAGAACACCGAUGGCGAAGGCAGCCUCCUGGGACAUAACUGACGCUCAGGCACGAAAGCGUGGGGAGCAAACAGGAUUACAUACCCUGGUAGUCCACGCCCUAAACGAU